GCCCUUCGCCUGUUUAUCAAAAACAUGGCCUUUAGAUUAUAAUUUAGGGUCUGGUCUGCCCACUGAUAAUUAAAUGGCCGCAGUAUUUUGACUGUGCAAAGGUAGCAUAAUAAUUAGUUUUUUUAUUGAAAGCUUGUAUGAAUGAUUUAAUGAAAAAAAUUCUGUCUCUGGUUAAAUUUUAGAAUUUUAUUUUUAAGUUAAAAAGCUUAAAUAAUAUUAAAAGACGAGAAGACCCUAUAGAGUUUUAUAUAUAUAUUUAUAUUUUUUUUGUUUUAUUAUUAUUAAUGUAUAUAUAUAUUUUGUUGGGGUGAUGUAAAAGUUUAUUAAACCUUUUUUUUUAUUUUAUCAAUUUUAAUUGAAUUAUUGAUCCUUUUUAGAUUAUAAGAUUAAGUUACCUUAGGGAUAACAGCGUAAUUUUUUUGGAGAGUUCAUAUCUAUAAAAAAGUUUGCGACCUCGAUGUUGGAUUAAGAUAAAAUUUAAAUGUAGAAGUUUAAAUAUUAAGUCUGUUCGACUUUUUAAAUCUUACAUGAUCUGAGUUCAAACCGGAGAAGGGC
rnacentral:rRNA from 1 species